rnacentral:rRNA from 1 species
UACGAAGGGGAGCUAGCGUUGCUCGGAAUCACUGGGCGUAAAGCGCACGUAGGCGGACUCUUAAGUCGGUGGUGAAAUCCUGGAGCUCAACUCCAGAACUGCCUUCGAUACUGAGAGUCUCGAGUCCGAGAGAGGUGAGUGGAACUGCGAGUGUAGAGGUGAAAUUCGUAGAUAUUCGCAAGAACACCAGUGGCGAAGGCGGACUCACUGGCUCGGUACUGACGCUGAGGUGCGAAAGCGUGGGGAGCAAACAGG